UCUUCCACCGCCCCCCCCCCGACGAGGAGUAAGUGCCACCGCUCCGCCUUCUCCUUUUCGCAAUGUUGACGCAAUCUAUAAAUAGUGGAACAAAAGGACCAACUUCCUCGCAGCUUUGCUGAAACUGCACAAAAAAAGGCAACCCGGAGGGGGGCGGGGGGGGCGGGCGGAGGAGAGCACGGUUAAUUUUUUUUUAAAUUUUAUUUUUCUCCGGUGAAGAGGCGAAGCCUCCCUCCUUCUCCCCCCCCUCCGCCCUACGCUACUGGAAGAUUAUUUAUAUUUUUUUUUUUCCUCGCUGUCUCCUAUACUGGCAACGUCCUGCGAGUGGUUAUUUCGCUUUUGCACCGAGAGAAGGGCUUCCCCCCCCCUCUUCUGACAGGAAAACCAGACCCAAAAUGGGAAGGAGGAUCUGGGCUACUAUCCUUUCACCUUCGCUCCCCACCCCUGCCCUGCGAGCUGUAAGGAAAGGAUGAGGCUGCACUAUUUUAAGAGCUGGUGCAGGACACACGCUUCCUCAGUGUAUUGGGGAGCGCAGGGAGAAAAUCUCUCUCUGAGCUCCCUGCGGGAGCACACACUGCUUCUCAACAUCCUUCACUCAGGACUGUGACUUAUCGCCAGAGCUGAGCCUUCAAUUAAGUGAUGAAAACUUCCCCUGUAAAUGUACGGUGUUUUCAGGGGCAUAUACAAAUAAGAAUAUUAUUGAACUAACUUACCUUUGACACAUGGUUUUGAAAGCUUCACGCUUGCCGCAAGUCGGAAAAAACAAACUAUCGCGAUAGCUCAGCGCUACAGGUAAAGUAGACCUGUAAAUAAAUGACACAAGAGAUCAGGUGACUUGCCAUCAUUUCCUGAACA